AUACGUAGGGGGCUAGCGUUAUCCGGAAUUACUGGGCGUAAAGGGUGCGUAGGCGGUCUUGCAAGUCAGAGGUGAAAGGCUACGGCUCAACCGUAGUAAGCCUUUGAAACUGUAGGACUUGAGUGCAGGAGAGGAAAGUGGAAUUCCCAGUGUAGCGGUGAAAUGCGUAGAUAUUGGGAGGAACACCAGUUGCGAAGGCGGCUUUCUGGACUGUAACUGACGCUGAGGCACGAAAGCGUGGGGAGCGAACAGGAUUAGAUACCCUGGUAGUCCACGCCGUAAACGAUGAGUACUAGGUGUCGGGGGUUACCCCCCUCGGUGCCGCAGCUAACGCAUUAAGUACUCCGCCUGGGAAGUACGCUCGCAAGAGUGAA
rnacentral:rRNA from 1 species